GUGGGGAAUAUUGCGCAAUGGGCGAAAGCCUGACGCAGCGACGCCGCGUGGGGGAUGAAUGCCUUCGGGUUGUAAACCCCUUUCGGCAGGGACGAAGCGAUCGUGACGGUACCUGCAGAAGAAGUCCCGGCUAACUACGUGCCAGCAGCCGCGGUAAGACGUAGGGGACGAGCGUUGUCCGGAUUCAUUGGGCGUAAAGCGCGCGUAGGCGGUUACGCAAGUCGGUUGUGAAAAUCCGGGGCUCAACCCCGGACCUGCAUCCGAUACUGCGUGACUAGAGGUAGGUAGGGGAGAUCGGAAUUCCUGGUGUAGCGGUGAAAUGCGCAGAUAUCAGGAGGAACACCGGUGGCGAAGGCGGAUCUCUGGGCCUUACCUGACGCUCAGGCGCGAAAGCUAGGGGAGCGAACAGGAUUAGAAACCCGUGUAGUCC
rnacentral:rRNA from 1 species